rfam:Ixodes scapularis strain Wikel colony gcontig_1107728634552, whole genome shotgun sequence.
CCCUGGUUAGCUCAGUUAGUGGAGCGCUCCACCUGUAAUGGAGAGGUCCCGGGUUCGAUACCCGGACCAGGCG